AAGACACCCCCAUGGAGCAGGACUUGUGUCAGUGGGGUUUUGGUGCUCACUGAGUCUGCUCCUUGAGUGUGUCAUU
rnacentral:pre_miRNA from 1 species